rnacentral:rRNA from 1 species
AAUGAACGCUGGCGGCGCGCCUAAUACAUGCAAGUCGAGCGGUAAGGCCCUUUCGGGGGUACACGAGCGGCGAACGGGUGAGUAACACGUGGGUGACCUGCCCUCAGCUCUGGGAUAAGCCCGGGAAACUGGGUCUAAUACCGGAUAUGACUCCAUGACGCAUGUUGUGGGGUGGAAAGCCUUGUGCGGCUGAGGAUGGGCCCGCGGCCUAUCAGCUUGUUGGUGGGGUGAUGGCCUACCAAGGCGACGACGGGUAGCCGGCCUGAGAGGGCGACCGGCCACACUGGGACUGAGACACGGGCCCAGACUCCUACGGGAGGCAGCAGUGGGGAAUCUUGCGCAAUGGGCGAAAGCCUGACGCAGCGACGCCGCGUGAGGGAUGAC